rnacentral:rRNA from 1 species
GAUGAACGCUAGCGGCAGGCUUAACACAUGCAAGUCGAGGGGCAGCGUGGAGCAGCAAUGCUCUGACGGCGACCGGCGGAAGGGUGCGUAACACGUGAGCGACUUGCCCGUCACAGGGGGAUAACCGGCGGAAACGGCGACUAAUACCCCAUACGAUGCGAUGCUGCAUGGCAUUGCAUUGAAAGAUUCAUCGGUGGCGGAUAGGCUCGCGGGACAUUAGCUAGACGGCGGGGCAACGGCCCACCGUGGCGACGAUGUCUAGGGGUUCUGAGAGGAAGGCCCCCCACACUGGGACUGAGACACGGCCCAGACUCCUACGGGAGGCAGCAGUGAGGAAUAUUGGUCAAUGGGCGGAAGCCUGAACCAGCCAUGCCGCGUGAAGGACUAAGGCCCUACGGGU